rnacentral:rRNA from 1 species
GACGAACGCUGGCGGCGUGCCUAAUACAUGCAUGUAGAACGCUGAAGGAUGAGCUUGCUUCUCUGGAUGAUUUGCAAACGGGUGAGAAACGCGAACGUAUCCUGCAUGGUCGCGCGGGAUCACUAUUGGAAACGACUCCUAAUACCGCAUAGUAGUAUAUGUUGCAUGACGUUUGCUUAGGGGGUGCUGUUGCGUCACUACCCCAUGGACCUGCCUAGUAUUACCUAGUUGGCGGCGCAGCGGCUCCCCCAUGCGACGAUGCAUACCCGACCUGAGAGGUGUGAUCCGCCGCACUACGACUGACACACUCCCCAGACUCCUACUGAAGGCAGCAGUAAGCAAUUUUCGGCCAUGCACGGAAGACUGACCGACCUCCGCCACGUGACUGAAUAAGGGUUUCAGAUCGUAAAGGUCUGUUGCAAUACAACAACGAGUGCGACAGGGUACAGCUCUCGCUGUGACGGUCUCUUACCCCAUAGGGACGGAUAACUGCGUGCCAACUCCCGCGGUAAUACAUAUGUCCCGAGCGUGGUCGGGAUUAUUGGGCGUAAAGCGAGCGCAGGCCGUUAGAUACGUCUGAAGUUAAAGGCUGUGGCUUAACUAUAGUACGCUUUGGAAACUGUUUAACUUGAGUGCAAGAGGGGAGAGUGGAAUUCCAUGUGUAGCGGUGAAAUGCGUAGAUAUAUGGAGGAACACCGGUGGCGAAAGCGGCUCUCUGGCUUGUAACUGACGCUGAGGCUCGAAAGCGUGGGGAGCAAACAGGAUUAGAUACCCUGGUAGUCCACGCCGUAAACGAUGAGUGCUAGGUGUUAGACCCUUUCCGGGGUUUAGUGCCGUAGCUAACGCAUUAAGCACUCCGCCUGGGGAGUACGACCGCAAGGUUGAAACUCAAAGGAAUUGACGGGGGCCCGCACAAGCGGUGGAGCAUGUGGUUUAAUUCGAAGCAACGCGAAGAACCUUACCAGGUCUUGACAUCCCUCUGACCGCUCUAGAGAUAGAGCUUUCCUUCGGGACAGAGGUGACAGGUGGUGCAUGGUUGUCGUCAGCUCGUGUCGUGAGAUGUUGGGUUAAGUCCCGCAACGAGCGCAACCCCUAUUGUUAGUUGCCAUCAUUCAGUUGGGCACUCUAGCGAGACUGCCGGUAAUAAACCGGAGGAAGGUGGGGAUGACGUCAAAUCAUCAUGCCCCUUAUGACCUGGGGUACACACGUGCUACAAUGGCUGGUACAACGAGUCGCAAGCCGGUGACGGCAAGUUAAUCUCUUAAAGCCAGUCUCAGUUCGGAUUGUAGGCCGCAACUCGCCUACAUGAAGUCGGAAUCGCUAGUAAUCGCGGAUCAGCACGCCGCGGUGAAUACGUUCCCGGCCUG